rnacentral:rRNA from 1 species
UUGAACGCUGGCGGCAUGCCUUACACAUGCAAGUCGAACGGUAGAGGGGCAACCCUUGAGAGUGGCGAACGGGUGAGUAAUAUAUCGGAACGUGCCCAGUCGUGGGGGAUAACGCAGCGAAAGCUGCGCUAAUACCGCAUACGAUCUAUGGAUGAAAGCGGGGGAUCGCAAGACCUCGCGCGAUUGGAGCGGCCGAUAUCAGAUUAGGUAGUUGGUGGGGUAAAAGCCCACCAAGCCGACGAU